rnacentral:lncRNA from 1 species
AUCACCUUAAACAGUCAUGUUGUAAGUCUAUCUCUCUUAUUAAUUCCCUUUUACAUGAAUGUGAUCAGAAAAGAUUCCGCGGUGCAUGAAACAGUCACUAGUAUCAUAUAUUAUCCUUAUUAGCUAAUCAAUAUGGAAAUAAAAUUAUCAGCAUCUUUUCACACAAAACUUUUAAAUCUUUAAAUAAGCAGAUCCUGUUAGAAUGUCGCCAACCUUUGUUGUAUGUGCAAGUACUUCUACAUGUACACCGCUGUUCCGGUGUCCCGGUGCUUACUAUCUGAUACAUCUCAUAGUAGUAAUCAGGCAUAUUAGCUUCCUCGGAUGCAUCUCAUUGGAUGGCUUACUCUGGCAUAACUCUGGAUGAGUUCAAUUUUCAUAGUGCUUGUGUUUAGCUUUGUGUGACCAGUGAUGUUGCUUAUUUUGUGUGCCAUAUCUUUUUUUUGGCAAUUAGAUCAUUGAAUAGUAUGAUUCACUACAGAAAUGACAGUAGAAAAAAUAUAUUGAGCUGACAGAUGACCCAUUUUUGGUAGUUAUGCUUUUAAAUCUGAGUUUAGAACACAAAAUUUGAAAACUUGCAUGUGUUAUUGUAAUUAAUCUUCAUUAGCUACUAUAAAUUAAUUAUUUGGUUGAAACUUAAUUGAUAUUGUUAGCCUUUAGAAACUGAUUGUGAUGUUAAAAAUAUUGGAGUUAUUUUUGAUAUUUUAUAUAUUUAUAUUAUUUCUUUUAAUUUAAUAAAUUUAUGUUAACUUAGAAGUGAGUAAUCUAAUUUUUUUUUCUAUUAAUAAUAAAUACUUUUACCGAGAAGAUUACAAUUUCACGAGGUUCUCAUUUCCUCAGAUCUCUCUGAUAAAUGCUAUUGGCUCUUAAUAGUUCUUUGACCCAACAAGCUCACCAUGGCAUGCUCUGUACUAUCAAAGCAUGCAUUAUUUGGCUUGUCUUAGCAAUGUGCAUGCAUGUGUAGUUUAUAAUAAUUCUCAUUAGUGCUCCAGCUUUGGGGUAUAGUCAAUGAGUGAAGCAAGUUUCUAUCAAGGAAAAAGGUACUAAAGCAGCUAAUCUGAGGAGGGUCAUUAUGACGACCUCUACAGAUCCUUCCAACAUCGGCACCGUGUGCAUCAUCGAGAACUACAGGAGAUGAAAGAUGAAGAAUUUAUGAUGCAGAACAUCACUUAUACGUUGGUGACUGGUUGGUUCAUAGAGGCGAUACAUAAAGUUGGUCUUGCUGCUAAUGGCCAUGGCAUGGCCGAGAUUAAGCCCUCAAGGUUUCUUCGCAGGUGGGAUGUCGACGAUGGCGACGAAGUCGACGGAGUUGGCGGCCAUGGCGUCGUCGACGGACUUGGGUAGCUCGAGUGCGCCAUGCUUUUUUCCACCGGAGUUGUCCGUGGACUGGAUCAAAUGGUCGGCGCUCUUCCCCCAUAUAAGAGA